rnacentral:rRNA from 1 species
GGGCCCGCACAAGCGGUGGAGCAUGUGGUUUAAUUCGAUGCAACGCGAAGAACCUUACCAGGGUUUGAAAUCAUUUCAAAACUCCUUGAAAGAGGAGCCUCCUUCGGGAUGAAAUGACAGGUGGUGCAUGGCUGUCGUCAGCUCGUGUUGUGAAAUGUCGAGUUAAGUCUCGUAACGAGCGCAACCCAUGUCUCUUGUUGCUCACUGAGUGCUUAAGAGAGACUGCCGACCAACAUCGGAGGAAGGUGUGGAUGAUGUCAAGUCAGCAUGCCCCUUACAUCCUGGGCUACACACGUACUACAAUGGUAAGGACAAUGAGCUGCGAUCCUGCGAAGGCUAGCCAAUCUCAAAAAACCCUAUCUCAGUUCGGAUUGUACUCUGCAACUCGAGUACAUGAAGGUGGAAUC